rnacentral:lncRNA from 1 species
UUAUAGACCUAGGGUUAGUUUUGGGCUACAAGGCCAAAUGGGAUUUGAAUGUCAAGCCCAUUAACUCAAGUUGUAUGACAACUUGAAUAAACAAAGGGCUUGAAAGCCCAAUGAACCCUUAAGGCCGACCAUUUAGAGGAGGGUACUAAACUUGCUUUAAUUACAAGUUUGCCACUCCAAUGAAGGAAGGUAUAAAUAUGACUUUAUAGCCAAAAUUCAUUUAGGGUUUCUUUUGGAGAAAAGAUGAGAACACAAACUCUCUUUUCUCUCUAAGAGGCCGGCCACCCUAGAGGAACAUAGCUAGCAAUCUUACUUCCUCUAGGUCACUCAUUUCUUCAUCAAUCUUUCCUUGGUGUGGAGACUUAGAGGUUCUCAACUUUGAGAACUUGGAGAAACCAAUUCUUCCAUCCAAAUCCAUGGAGCUAAGAAGCAAGGAAUGAAGGCCCUAUCUCUUGGGUGAUUAUCCUUUGCUUAUGCAAAGAGGAAUCAACAAAGGUAUAAUUUCUCAACUCACUUUGUUUUGAGUUGAGUCUUGGUUCACCUAACUACUAGGCUUUGAAUUUAAUGGGUAAUGUUUUGUUUUGAGUGCAUGCAAGCAUGAUUCCACCUUUAAUUUGUUAAUUGCAUGCUAUAGAUGUUGCUCAAAUGAACAUGUUUUUCACAAAAUGUCCUUCAAGUGGUAUCAGAGCCUAGGUCUAGUAGUUGGUGAAUCCUUUUGGGUUUUGUAUUUUCAUAGUUUAUGAUUUGAAUGUUGUAAUUGUUACAAGCUUUAUUCUUGCUUCUUUGAAUGUAAAUUUUGCUAGAAAAUUUGCCAUCUCAAAUGUUGUAGAUGUAGUUCAUAUGAGCAUGAAUUUUGGAGCUAAAAUUUGGUGCCAUGUUUUUGGGGAUUUUUGGCCAAAUCCAAAGGGUGAUUUUUUGGAUUCAUGUUUGUCUUAUUAAAAGUGUUUUAAGGUGACUUUUGGAACCCCUAAGUACCCUAGGAUGUUAACCCCGUUUUGAGUAGUGAAAAUUUGAGUUUUAUUGAUUGAAAAUGUUCAUGGAGCUCUUAUGGGUUUUUCAUGAAUGUUCUUCAUUGUUCUUGAGGUUCUUACCAAGAACAAAAAGUUUGGUGUUUUGAUUCAAAGUUUUGAUUUAUUUCAUAAAGUCUUUGUUUUGUGCUUUUUUCAAAUGUUUAAAUGUGAUUGAAUUUUUGAAAGGUGAUAGAAAUGAUGAUGGGUGUGUAAGAAGUACUUCUCUUACACACACACCACUUGCAUGAAUUUAUGUCAUGCAUCACUUGCAUGAAUUUAUGUCACACACCUCUUGCACCACUUGCACCACUUGCAUGACUUUAUGUCAAACCUACAAAUCAACACACACAUGACUCCCUUCACUCUCUAUAACCGGCCACCCUAUUAAAAUAGGGUUCUUUUGAGGCUUUUAUGCAAUUACAUAAAGUUUUGAUAUUUUUGUGUAUUUGCAGUUUGACCCAAAAGUUUACGUAUUUACAUAAAGGCCCAAAAUCAUUAAAGGACAAAUUGUUUUGUUCCUUUAAUGAAGUUUUUGAAUUUAUUGAAAUUUUUGGGUUCUAGUUGUAAUUACAUGAAGUAAUGGACUUUUGCAUUUUUACAAAAUGAGCUCAAAAGUUUAAGUUUUGCAACAUAGCCCAAAAAGUUGAGGUUAUUGCAUUUUGGCCCAAAUUAGGUUGAGAACAAAAUGGUUUUGUCUCUUUAAAUGAGAAUUGGAUUUUCAUUUCAUCUAGCUCCAUUUAAAUCAAUUUUAUGGAUACAAAAACCAAAUGACAAUGUUGCAUUCAAAGUUUAAUUAGUUAAAGCGUUAAUUAAUUAAAGGGUGAUUAUGAACCUAAGCCUACGAUAAUUGAGCUAUGUGAAAGGCCGUCUCAAAUUUGUUUGAACCAUGGGAAUGUGUAGAUUAGAUUUUGGUUGUAAUUUGAUAUGAUCAAAUGUUGUAAAAGAGCAUAAGCUCUUCUUUACUUUAAAGUAAUUUGUUUUGAUCAAAUGUUGUAAAAGAGCAUAAGCUCUUCUUUACUUUGAAGUACUCAUUUUCUUGUUUUAUUUGAUAUGCAUGAAAUUGGAGUAGUUGGGUCCAACGCCCAAUAGGAAAAACACGCCUUAAUAUGAUUAAACGCGUAACUAAAAUCAAUCACCAUCCCUAGACCGAGAUUCAACACUAGGCUCGUGUUGGAUCUAAUCAAAGGUUCAUAGUCAUCCUAAGGCCCUAAGCAACUAUAUAGUCCAUCAAAGAAUGCAAACCUUAUGUUAGUAGUAUCAUAUACUCUUGCUUUAAAAAUCGUUUUAUAAGUAUAGUGGGAGUAUUAUAUACAACUAAAAACAAUCAAAUGGACCAAUAGUUGUAAUAGGACCAAAAUUGUUUUAAUAAGAUUAAAAUGUAUAUUUAUAUGUGAUGAGACCUAAAACCCUCAACCAAACCAUUAUUAAGUUGAUAAGCGUGAGAGUGCUUUGAACACUCUUUCGUGACCUUCCACCAUGGUAUGCUCCGAUCGUUUGUGACUCGUACACCGACUUCACCCUAUCAUGGGGGAGUACAAAGUGUGUGCUUACACUCAGGAGGAAUCCUAUACACGUACAUGAUGUUGUGAAGAUGGGCAACGAGAAUGAUCAACAUCAUAUCAUUGUGAGGUUGUUCUUGAACCCCUACCCGAACUUGCAUGGUGGGAAUGACUUAACUAAGUGCAAUGGAGCCAACAUCAUAUCAUUGUGAGGCUUCAUUCUCUAGAGGCCAAAUAAGAUUGGUACUUGCAAGAGAUGCAAAUGAGUAAGUGUACUUUCUCAUUAUUAUUGAUGCUAGCCAACAUCAUAUCAUUGUGAGGUGGGCUUGGUAAUGAUGAGUCUCCCAUACCCU